rnacentral:rRNA from 1 species
GACGAACGCUGGCGGCGUGCUUAACACAUGCAAGUCGAACGGUAAGGCCCUUCGGGGUACACGAGUGGCGAACGGGUGAGUAACACGUGGGUGAUCUGCCCUGCACUUCGGGAGAAGCCUGGGAAACUGGGUCUAAUACCGGAUAGGACUCCGGACUGCAUGGUCUGGGGUGGAAAGCUUUUGCGGUGCGGGAUGGGCCCGCGGCCUAUCAGCUUGUUGGUGGGGUGAUGGCCUACCAAGGCGACGACGGGUAGCCGGCCUGAGAGGGUGACCGGCCACACUGGGACUGAGAUACGGCCCAGACUCCUACGGGAGGCAGCAGUGGGGAAUAUUGCACAAUGUGCGCAAGCCUGAUGCAGCGACGCCGCGUGAGGGAUGACGGCCUUCGGGUUGUAAACCUCUUUCAGCAUCGACGAAGCGAAAGUGACGGUAGGUGCAGAAGAAGGACCGGCCAACUACGUGCCAGCCGCCGCCGUAA